ACAAAGGGCAGCAAGUUCGCGAGGACAAGCAAAUCCCAUAAACCGUGGCUCAGUUCAGAUCGUAGGCUGCAACUCGCCUACGUGAAGGAGGAAUCGCUAGUAAUCGCAGGUCAGCAUACUGCGGUGAAUACGUUCCCGGGCCUUGUACACACCACCCGUCACACCAUGGAAGUUGGCCACGCCCGAAGCCGUUACUCCAACCCUUGUGGAGGAGGACGUCGAAGGUGGGGCUGAUGACUGGGGUGAAGUCGUAACAAGGUAGCCGUACCGGAAGGUGCGGCUGGAUCACCUCCUAAC
rnacentral:rRNA from 1 species